UACAGAGGUGGCAAGCGUUGUUCGGAAUUACUGGGCGUAAAGCGUGCGCAGGCGGUGAUGUAAGACAGGUGUGAAAUCCCCGGGCUUAACCUGGGAACUGCAUUUGUGACUGCAUCGCUGGAGUGCGGCAGAGGGGGAUGGAAUUCCGCGUGUAGCAGUGAAAUGCGUAGAUAUGCGGAGGAACACCGAUGGCGAAGGCAAUCCCCUGGGUCUGCACUGACGCUCAUGCACGAAAGCGUGGGGAGCAAACAGG
rnacentral:rRNA from 1 species